UACGGAGGAUGCAAGCGUUAUCCGGAUUUAUUGGGCGUAAAGCGUCCGUAGGCGGUCAAUCAAGUCUGCUGUCAAAUAUCGGGGCUUAACCCCGGGGUUGCAGUGGAAACUGUAUGACUAGAGAGCGGUAGGGGUUGAGGGAAUUCCCAGUGUAGCGGUGAAAUGCGUAGAUAUUGGGAAGAACACCAGUGGCGAAGGCGCUCAACUGGGCCGCAACUGACGCUGAUGGACGAAAGCUAGGGGAGCGAAAGGG
rnacentral:rRNA from 1 species